AGGGAUGUAGCGCAGCCCGGUAGCGUGUUUGUUUUGGGUACAUAAUGUCGCAGGUUCAAAUCCUGUCAUCCCUA
rnacentral:tRNA from 1 species